CCCGUCGAACGACACAUGAGGGCAGCAUUCAACAACAUAAACACGCGACUGUACGGCGCUGUCUUCCGAGUGGCCCAAACUGUACCUGUUGAUACCUUUGCCACUUUCUUAUUACUGUGUGUUUUUGGUCCAACGUAAUAACACCAAAAUGGAUGAGAAGCAGGGACCAAUUUCUGAUGAUGUCCCAACUGGGGAGGUAACGUCAACCACAGUUACAGAGGGUGAUGUUGUCAAGAUGCCAACAGAUGUGGCCAUCACUAUGGAUGCUAUUCCCAAUGAAGAUGAGGAGGACAAAUCCAAAGGUCUUGACCCACAAGAUAACCAUUGCGCCAGCACCUCUGACGUACCGAUGACUGGUGCUGCCAUGACGGAUCCUUAUCACUAUCUGACACAACAGCACUUCACCUCAGAGAUCUUCAAGAUUGAGAUCCAAAACCUCCCAAGAUAUUUUGGAUUUGCGGUUAAACAACAUGCUGACUCCACUGUGGAACCAGCCGUAUGAGGACCAGCUAUCCACCAAAUAGACCAACACCAGGGAGUUUCUGAGGAAUUUCCAAGAUGCUGCAACGGAACAUUGGGGAGAUGUCUCCCUGGCUGAAGCAACAAAUAUAACACUGUUGGUUUUUGGCUUGG
rnacentral:misc_RNA from 1 species